rnacentral:lncRNA from 1 species
CCAACAUACCAAGACUAAUAUAAAAAGACACUUAUUGAAGUAUCAGUAAGGAGGACUUCUGGGAAGAUGGCAGCAUGGUAAGCAGCAGAUGGGGGGCCUCUCUGAGGUUUUGUGUCCAGGCACUGGCAUAUAGCAACGUGAGGAAGAGAAGGAGGAAAAUGGGUCCCCAGGACCCAGGAAGGAUCUGAAGCAAGAAUUUAGGCCCAUGGGGAGAGCCAAGAGAGUGAGUCUUCCAAAGAAGGAGGUAAAAGGUGUCACCUCCUACCUAAGCCUGAACUCACUGCGUGGGAAAGACAGCUCAAACUUGCCCAUGAACUGUGACUACUGGUGAUCCUGGCGACCCCAGAGACCUACAUGGAUUAAUGCAUCAGUGGAGCAGAGUGGUGGACUCAGUGGCCUGCAGUGGUUGGGGGUGCCUUCAAGUCUUCCGGACAAACAUGCCUGCCCUCCUGCAGACCCAGGAUUCUAUUCUGCCUCACACAUCCCCAACACAACUGCCAGCUGAGUUCUAAUUGCAGAAUCUUCAUUACCAGGGACGAUUGAAACUAUAAAAAGAAACCAGCUGAAUUUUUCACAUCCUGCUGGGUGAGCACAAGGCCUGGCUUUCCUGUUCCUGCCCUCCUCCUUCCCCCAGCAAUUAUCCCUUCUACAUGUGUGAUCUGGCUUCUGCCAGAAGCUCUGAGCAAUUGAUAGAUGUUAUCUCCCUUCUCCUCCAACCUCCCUCCCCAGGAGGUAGGAUGGUGACCAUGACAAAUAUGUCUGACCUUCCUCUACAGCCUCAGAAACAGGAGGUUCAUUCAUUUCUUAACUUCUUUACCUAAGUUUCUUGUUCAAAGUCACCUAGUGGUGAGUGACCAUCGAUAACAGACAUUUCUCCUAACCUCAGGCUACAAAUUUGUCUUUUUCUGUUACGUUUGUUCCAUCAGUGAGUAUUUAUAAAGUACCUGCUGAGUAAUCAGGAUUGAGUUAAUUAUGGUGAAGGGGAAUAUCCAGAAGCAAAAGGAUACCAAGCAAUUAAAAAUCCA